rnacentral:tRNA from 1 species
GGCACUUUGGCCGAGUGGUCUAAGGCGCCGUGUUCAGGCUAAGAUUUGCUCUCGCAGCAGAUCUUCCUCUUCGCGGUCUAGUAAUAGGCGAGGGUUCGAAUCCCUCAGGUGUCA